rnacentral:lncRNA from 1 species
CCAGCCCCUACUGUGCUUUUAUUAAAACAGUAAAGUGUUUACAACAAAGAUCACGAAACAAAAAAGGUUACAAAGAAGAUCAAAUAAAUUACACAUAAGUACUAGCUAGCAAAUAGUAGUAUAGCCAAUGUCCACAUUCAAAACUGAGCUGGUAAAGAACAGAGGUCCACGUUGUGUGGCCUUGCAUAAUAGUAGUAGAAGACAGACAGUAGUGGGUGUCACCUCGCCGAUGCCGGAGGAAGCGCCGGUGAUGAGCACGACCUUGCCGGCGAGGUCCUCGGGGAAGAGCCAGGAGAGGAAGGAGUAGCAGGUCUUGAAGAGGUAGUAGGGCGGGUAGAAGAGCAGCAGGCAGGCCACCAUGGCCGGCGUCCCCACCCAGUUGAGCACGCCGUUCACCAGAUCCAUGACGACGACGCCCUCGAUCUUCGCCUGCUUGCUCUCAGUUGCGCACAGGGGAUGGAAGAACUACGAAUGAAGACGACGAGCCUCGCUAGUCGCUCC